rnacentral:lncRNA from 1 species
CUCCCCCCCAUUUGGGGUGGGGGUCCCUACGCUGCGUGCAGUGCCCUCCAGCGGUCCAGGGGUCCCCUCCCAGGGACGUAUUUCACCCCGCAGCCGUCGGGGAUCAAACGUUUCUGGGCCACCAUUUCCUCGAAGGCGUCGGCGUUGAAUUUGGUGAACCCCCAUUUCUUGGAGAUGUGGAUCUUCUGCCUGCCCGGGAACUUGAACUUGGCCCUGCGCAGCGCCUCCACCACGUGCUCCUUGUUCUGCGCCUGUCGGCCCCGGCGCAGGACAGCAUUUUGUUGAUGCGGAUGACGUGGAAGGGGUGGAGCCGCACCCGGAUGUGGAAGCCGUCCUUCCCGCAGCUCUUCACCAUGUAUUUAUUGGCGCAGAUCCGCGCCGCCUCCAGCGCCUCGGAGCUGAGCUGCUCGUACUCAUCAGACACCAUAUGGCCGCACAAUGGGAACUCGUCCACCUUUGCUUUCUUCCGGCCCAGGUCGAA